rnacentral:lncRNA from 10 species
CAUCACAAAACAGUUUCACAGAUCGCUUAUUUCUAGUUCUUACCUGGGGACAUUUAGUUUUUUCUUGUAUGUCUGAAUGGGCUUCUAAAUGUCUCUUCACAGAAUCUCCAGUUAAAGUGGUUCCAACCUCCUGAAUCAACAGAAACGUUUAACUCUGUGAGGUGAAUACACAUAUCACAAAGCAGUUCCACAGACAGCUUCUUUCUAGUUUUUAUCUAGGCAUAUUUUGUUUUUCCCCAUAGGCCACAAUGGGCUACAAAAUGUCCUUUUGCAUAUUCUCCAAGAAGAGUGUUUCCCACCUGCUGAAUCAAAAGAAUGGUUUACCUCUGGGAGAUAAAUCCACACAGCACAAAGAAGUUUCACAGAUUGCAACUCUCUAGUUUUUUUUUUUCUGGGGAAAUUCAGUUUUUCCCAAUAGUCCUCAAAGGGUUCCCAAAUAUCUCUUGCAGAAUCUACCAAAAGAAUGUUUCCAACCUGCUAAAUCAAAAGAAAAGUUUACCAGUGUAAUAUGAAGCCACACACCACAAAACAGUUUCACAGACAGCUUCUUUCUAGUUUUUAUCUUGGGAUAUUCAAUUUUUCCCCAUAGGCCACAAUGGGCUUUCAAGGGUCCCUUUGCAGAUGCUCCAAAAAGAGGAUUUCCUACCUGCUGAAUCAAAAGGAAGGUUUAACUCUGUGAGAUGAAUCCACACAUCACAAAAGAGUUUCACAGAUGGCUUCUUUAUAGUUUUUUUUCUGGGAAUAUUCAAUUUUGCCCCAUAGGCCACAACAGGCUCAAAUAUGCUUUUUCGCAGAUUUUGCAAAAAGAGUUUUCAAACCUGAUGGAUGAAAAGAAAGUUUUAACUCUGUGAGAUGAAUCCACAUAUUACAAAGCAGUUUCACAGACAGCUUCUUUCUAGUUUUUCUCUGGGGAUAUACUUUUUUGCCACAUAGGCCCCAAUGGGCCCCCGAACGUUCCAUCACAGAUUCUCCAAAAAGAGCAUUUCCAAGCUGUUGAAUCAAAAGAAAAUUUUAACUCCAUCAGAUGAAUCCACACCUCACAAGGCAGUUUCAUAGUUACCUUAUUUCUAGUUUUUACCUGAGGAUAUUUUGUUGAUCCCCAUAGGCCUCAAUGGGCUCCCAAAAGUCCAUUCACAGAUUCUCCAAAAAGAGUGUUUCCAACUUGCUGAUUCAGAAGAAUAGUUUAAUUUUGUGAGAUAAAUUCACACAUCACAUCAGUUUCACAUGUAGUUUCUUUUGAGUUUCUAUCUUGGGAUAUUCAGUUUUUCCCCACAGUCCUCAAUAAGCUCCCAAAUGUCCCUUCAUAGAUUCUCUAAAGUAAGUGUUUUCAACCUGCUGAAUAAAAAGAAACGUUUAUAUCUGGGACAUGAAUACACACAUCACAAAGCAUUUUCUCAGAUAUCUUCUUUCUAGUUUUUAUCUGAGGAUAUUUAGUUUUUUUCUAUAGGCUAAAAUUUGCUCCCAAUUGUCCCCUCGCAAGUUCUCCAAAAAGUGUUUCCAAUCUGCUUAAUCCACAGAAUGGCUUAACUCUCUGAAGGGAAUCCACACACCAUGGAGUUGUGUCACAGGCCUCAGAGGACUCCAAAAUGUCCCUCUACAGAUUCUCCAGAAAGAGUGCUUCCAACCUUCUGAAUCAAAAGAAAGGUUUAAGUCUGUGAGAAGAAUCCCCACAUCACAAAGCAGUUUCACAUAUAACUUCUUUCUAGUUUUUAUCUGGGAUAUUUUGUUUUUCCUCAUAGGCCAAAAAGGGCUCCCAAAUGUCCCUUCACAGGUUCUUUAAAAAGAGUAUUCCCAUCCUACUAAGUCAAAAGAAAAGAUUACUCCGUGAGAUGAUUCCACAUCUCACAAUAAAGUUUUACACAGAGUUUCUUUCCAGUUUUUACCUGGGGAUAUUUUGUUCUUCCCCAUAGCCCUCAAUGGGCUCCCACAGGUCCCUUAACAAAUUCUCCAAAAAUAGUGUUUCAAACCUGAUGAAUCAAUAGAAAGGUUUAAUUCUGUGAGAGGAAUCCACACAUCACAAAUAAGUUUCACAGAUAUUUCCAUUCUUGUUUUUAUCUGGGCAUGUUCUGUAUUUUUCCAUAGGCCUCAAUGGCUCCCAAAUGUCCCUUCACAGAUUAUCCAAUAAGGGUGUUUCAAACCUGCAGAAUCAAAAGAAAGUUUUAACACUGUGAGAUGAAUCCUCACAUUGCAAAGCAGUUUCACAGAUAGCAUCUUUCUAGUUUUUAUCUGGGGAUAGUCGGUAUUGUCCCAUAGGCCUAAAUAGGCUCCCAAAUGUCCCAUUGCAGAUUCUCCAAAAAGAGUGUUUCCAACCUGCUGAAUCAAUAGAAAGGUUUAACUCUUUGAGAUGAAUCCACACAUCAGAAAGAAGAUAUGAAGAGAGCUUCUUUCUACUUUUUCUCUAAAGAUAUUUCAUUUUCCCCCAUAGGGCUAAAUGGGCUCCCAAACGAUUCUUCAAAAGUUCUCCAAAAAAGUGUUUCCAAUCUACUGAAUAAAAACAAAGGUUUAUCUCUGUAAGAUGGAAACACACAUCAGAAAGCAUUUUUACAGAUAGCUUGUUUCUAGUUUUUUUUUUUCUGUUUUCUUCCAUAGGCCUCAAUGGGCUCCGAAAUGUCCCUUUGAAUAUUUGCCAAAAAGAGAGCUUCCAACCUACUGAGUCAACAGAAAGAUUUAACUGUGCGAUGAACCCACUCAUCACUAAGCCGUUUCACAGAUAGCUUCUCUCUUGUUUUUAUCUGGGGUAAUUGGUUUUUAUUUAAUUAGGCUACAAUGGGUCCCCAAAUGUCCCUUUGCCAAUUUUCCAAAAAGGGUGUUCUCAACCAGGUGAAGCCAAAAAAAAUUUUAACUCUGUGAGAUGAAUCCACGUAUCACAAAGCAUUUUCACAUAUAACUUCCUUAUACUUUUUAUCUGGGGAUAUUCUGUUAUGUCACCUAGGAAUCAAUGGGCUUUCAAAUAUUUCUUCACAGAUUCUCCAAAAAAAGUGUUUCCAACCUGAUGAAUCAAUAGAAAGGUUUAGCUGUGGCAGAUGAAUUUACAUAUCACAAAGUAGUUUCACAGAUAGGUUCUUUCUAGUUUUUCUUUAGGGAUAAUCUGUUUUUCCCCAGAGGCCUCAAUGGGCCCCCAAAGUCUCUUCAAACAUUCUCCAAAAAGCUUGUUUCCUACCUGCUAAAUGAAAAGAAAUGUUUAACUGUCUGAGAUGAAUCCACACAUCACAAAGCAGUUUCAUAGAUAGCUACUUUCUAGUUUUUAUCUAGGGAUAUUUGGUUUUUACCCACAGCUCUCAAUGGGCUCCCAAACUUCUCUUCAGAGAUUCUCUAAAAAGAGUGUUUCCAAUCUGCGGAAUCAAAAUAAAGGUUGAACUCUGUGAGAUGAAUCUACACACCAUAAAGCAGUUUCACAGAGAGCUUCUUUCUAGUUUUUGUCUGGGCAUAUUCUGUUUUUCCCCAUAGGCCUGAAAGGACUCCAAAUGUCUCUUCACAGGUUCUACAAAGAGUGUUUCCAACAUGCUGAAUCAAAAGAAAGGUUUAACAUUUUGAGGUGAAUCUACACAUCAGAAAGCCGUUUCACAGAUAGCCUCUUUCUAGUUUUUGUCUGGGGAUAAUUUGUUUUUCCACAGAGACCUCAAUAAGUUUUCCCAAAGAAAGAUUUAACCCUGUGAGAUAAAUUCACACAACAUAAAGCCAUUUCAUAGAUAUCUUCUUACUAGUCUUUAACUGGGGUAUUAGAUUUUUACCCAUAGGCCAAAAUGGGCUCCCAAAAGUUCAUUUGCAGAUUCUACAAACAGAGUGUUUCCAAUAUGCUGGAUGAAAAGAAAAGUUCAUCUCUAUGAGCUCAAUUCUUCCAUCACAGAGGAGUUUCACAUAUAGCUUUUUUCUAGUGUUUAUCUGGGGAUAUUAGUUUUUUUCACUUAAGUGUAUAUGGGCUCCCAAGUUUCCCUUCGCAGAUUCUCCAAGAGUGUUUCCAACCUGCUGGAUAAAAAACUUUUAACACUGUGAGAUGAAGCCACAUAUCACAAAACAGUUUUACAGAUUGAUUCUUUCUAAUUUUUAUCUGGGGAUAUUCAGUUUUUUCCCAUAGGCCUCUAUGGGCUUCCAAAUGUUUCUUUGCAGAGUCUCCACAAAGAGUGUUUCAAACCUGCUGAAUCAAAAGACAUGUUUAACACUCUGAGAUGAAUCUACACAUCAGAAAGCAGUUUCACAGAUAGCUUCUUUCUAGUUUUUCCAAAAAUAGUGUUUCCAUCUUGCUGAAUCAAAAGAAUGGAUUAACUCCUUGAGAUGAAUUCACACAUCACAAUGAAUUUUCACAAAUAGCUUCUUUCUACUUUUUAUCUGGGGAUAUUCAGUUCUUCCAAUAAUCUCCAAUGAGCUUCCAAAUAUCCCUUUGCAGACUACAAAAAAAGUGAUUCUAACCUGCUGAAUGAAAACUAACUUUUAACUCUGUAAGAUGAAUCCACACAUCACAAAG